AUGGCUUUAGUACGUGAUCUUUGGUUGCCAAGUAGCUUGGGCACGAUGACAGGGCCAAUUUGGCCAUCUAUUGAGGCCGAAAAUUUUGAGUUGAGGCCUGGACUUAUUGCUCUCGUCUUGCAGAAUCAGUUUAGAGGAUUACCCAAUGAAGACCCUCAUGAGCACAUUUGUAAUAUCCUGGAGUAUGCCAAUACUGUCCAGUAUCAUGGCGUUUCCCAAGAUGCUAUCAAGUGUAUGCUGUUCACAUUCUCUCUCAGAGAUGCUGCUAAGGACUGGUACUAUUAUUUGCCAUCAAUAUCAUACACUUGGGGUGAUAUUUCGCAAGCUUUCCUGCACAGAUAUUUUCCACUUUACAAGCAAGCUGCAAUUCGUGACCAGAUCCUCAGUUUUGCGCAAGAUGGAAGUGAGAGCUUGUAUGCAGCUUGGGAGAGAUAUAAGUAUUUGCUUAGAAAAUGUCCUAAUCAUGGGCAAAAGGAUUGGUUAGUGCUCCAGAUAUUCUAUAGAGGGCUGACACAUGCUUCGAGAGAUCUUAUUGAUAUGUCCGCUGGUGGAACAAUCAUGAACAAGACCGUUGAGGGUGCAAUUAUUCUCAUUGAGAGCAUUGCCUUCCACCAAAUGCAAUGGGGUUAUGAAAGGCCCAGUUCAAAUCCGAAGGUUGCAAGCCAUCUGCAAUCAGAAGCUGAAUGUUCCAUAAGUGAACAGAAAUCAUCGAUGGUGCCUAAUAUUCAAAACCAGCAUGUUCCAUUCCGGGGACAACAACAUUUCAGAGCUGAAUUAGAUCCUCCAUGUAGAAAGAUUGAUCUUACUUCAAGUAUCCUUGAUGAUGAUUAUGAUAUUUUUCAAGAUGAUGCAACCAUUGUAGAUCAGAUCGAAACCACAGUAGCAGAUCCAAUACCUCAAUGCAAUGAAACUGUCCAGACUGAGUCAAAGUUGCAAAAAGAUGGAUUGCCUCUUGGGCUGUUGGGGAACAAUACAAGGAAGAACAGCCUCGCGAGGGUCUGUUCUUGGUUGGUGCGAUGA
rnacentral:rRNA from 1 species